UACAGAGGGUGCAAGCGUUAAUCGGAAUUACUGGGCGUAAAGCGUGCGUAGACGGUUACAUAAGUCAGAUGUGAAAGCCCCGGGCUCAACCUGGGAAUUGCAUUUGAGACUGCGUAGCUAGGGUGCGGAAGAGGGAAGCGGAAUUUCCGGUGUAGCGAUGAAAUGCGUAGAUAUCGGAAGGAACACCAGUGGCGAAAGCGGCUUCCUGGUCCAGCACCGACGUUCAGGCACGAAAGCGUGGGGAGCAAACAGG
rnacentral:rRNA from 1 species